AUUCUAUUAGUAUAUCUUUAUUACGUUAUUUUUUCAUAAUAAAAAUGUUAUUAAUUAACAUAGAAUU
rnacentral:tRNA from 1 species